UAAAAAAAUAAAAAAACGUCCGAUCUCAGGCGCUAAGCAGGGGCCGGCCUGGUUAGUACUUGGAUGGGAGACCGCCUGGGAAUACCAGGUGCUGUAAGCUUUUUAUGGUUUCUGCUCUUGCCUGACAGCAGAGGGCGCUGUUUGACACUUUUUUUCUGGAGUCUAGCCUGCAUCACCUUCAAAUAGGAUCUUUUCAGUUGACCUGGCACCUUACGGCUAUACUACCCUGAAAAAAAACGGUGAGAGCAGUUGCAGAGUAGAUCACAGAGAGAUAUUUUUUUAGAUAUAUUCCGUUUUUUCUUUUCUAUUUAAAGUGUUUUUUUUUUCUUAAAAAUUCUCUUUUGUGAAUGUUCAGGGAGUGGGCCCGCUCCCCCCUCCCUGUCCUCCCCCACCCCCCAAAUUUGUGGCUGGUGGGGGGAGGGGCACUUUUUGUUUUAAACAAGCACAAGUCAAGCUGGUAGCCAGGGAGCCAUCAGACAAGGCUGCUGCCUAUCCUAGGCAAUUAGCUGUGGCAGUGGAAGUUGUGGGUGAGGGGGCCAUUGCACCACUGGACAAGGGAAUUGUUCUAAACUGUGGAACCAUGACAGGAUGCAGAUUUAAAGGAAGAAAUAGAUACGAAGUCACAAUGAAGGAUAUGGAGGGUAAAAAGAAGCUCUUGGAUGGUCUAGGAAUCCAGAAUUGCAGGUUAAUUGCCUCUGAACCGUGCAGAGAUGAACUGACUGUUUCUUUUUUAAGUCACCCGGUAUGUGACUGCAGCUGUCUUUCUGUGCUCUGAUUGAUCGUAAAAACUUUCCAACUCGAGAAAAACUGUUCUUUCUUCACAAGUAUGUUGGAGGAACUGCUAAGAGAGCUAUUGAAGGCCAUUUCCUUGCAGGAACAGAAACGGCUUAUCAUGCUGCCUGGGGCAUACUUGAAGACAGAUUUGGUAAUCCAUUCAUUGUUGCCAAAGCAUACCGUGAGAAGAUAUAUGCAUGGCACAAAAUUAGCCCCAAAGACAGCGACAAUCUUCGCGAGUUUGUUGAUUUUCUAAACAGUGUGGAAUCAGCUAUGCCAUAUGUUCAAGGCCUACAAACACUAAACGACUGUGUAGAAAACCAAAGGAUUAUUGCCAAACUACCAGAUUGGUUGAGCUCGCGUUGGAACAGAGAAGUUACAAUUUAUCAAGACGAACACAAAAUGUUUCAGAUAUUUUGUGCAAUUUCUCAACAUGGAGGCUCGAAUCGCAUGCAAUCCUAUUACAUCACUAAAUGUAAUGAAGCCAACUGACCAAGAAAGAACAAAGCCAACAGAACGAGAACAGUCCAAGUUUCAAAGAAAUCAAAACUUAAGUGCUAAGACUUUCACAACUAGCGCAAGUGAGAGAACAAACAUCACAUGCCUUUUCUGUAAGAAGCGGGGACAUACUGUCCACAAGUGCCGCCAAAUUAUGGAAAAAACAGUUGAAGAAAGACUCAAGUUUGUACAACAGGAGAAGUUAUGUUUUGGUUGUCUCAAGAAUGAUCAUAACUCCAAAGCCUGUACAUCCAGGAGUGUGUGUGACUUAUGUGGAAAACGUCACCCCACAUGCCUUCAUCAAGACCGUGAGAAGAGAGCUCAAGAACAAGGACGAAGUAAAAGGCAAGCAACAAAUGAAACCACUACAGACGAAAACAAAGGAGAGAAAAAACAGCAGUCUGAAUCCAUAGAAAUGCAGCAAGUUACAUCCAACAGAGUUGUUCAAGAGGAAAAGGGAACUCAUACUUCAUCUAUUGUUCCAGUCUAUGUUUCCACGUCAACUGAACCAGGCAAGGAAGUUCUAGUGUAUGCUUUACUGGACAGUCAAAGUGACACAACUUUCAUUUUGCAAAAUGUAGCUGAAAUGUUGUGCAUCAAGAAAGAGCCAGUAAAACUUAAAUUAUCCACAAUAACAUCAAAAACAAAGGUGGUGAAGAGCGAAAGGGUGCAAGGACUACAAGUAAGAGGCAUCGGCUCGGACACAAAAAUAAAACUCCCAACAACCUACACCAGCAGUUACAUACCAGCUAAUAGAUCUCAUAUACCUACAUGUACAACUGCAAAGCUAGUUCCAGCUAUCAAGCCAUCUUUGGAGAUCAAGUCUGAGGUUCAGUUUGUCUGUAGAACUCAGGUUAAAGAAAUUAUCACUCCAGCGGAAAUACUUAAAGUAUUUGAGUCAGACUUUACUGAAAGGUUCAGUGAAAUGUUCUAAUAUCACAAGAAGAUAUUGAGUUUUUGACGACAAUGAGAGAAGGCAUCAAGCAUAAGCCAAAUGGACAUUACGAAAUGCCAUUACCUUUCAAGGAAGAGAGGCCCAAGCUGCCAAACAACAAAGUAUGUAUGUGCAGAACAUCGACUCAGGUGUCUGGAAAAACGUUUUAGGAAAGAUGACGUAUACCACAAGCAUUAUGGUACAUGGUAUAUCCCUCACCAUGGGGUUUACCACCCACACAAGCCAGGGAAGAUUCGCGUUGUAUUUGAUUGCUCAGCUAAGUUUCAGAAUACAUCGCUGAAUGAGCAUCUACUUACUGGACCAGAUCUUACCAAUACCCAUGUAGGGGUCUUGUCUCGCUUCCGCAAAGGACAAGUAGCCCUCAUGUGUGAUGUGGAGCGGAUGUUCCAUCAAUUUCAUGUUGCACCAAGAGACCAAGACUACCUCCGAUUCCUGUGGUGGGAACAGGGAAAUAUAAAAGCUCCAGUGUCAGUGUUCCGCAUGAAAGUUCACUUGUUUGGAGCUGCAUUAUCACCCGGAUGCGCAAACUUUGGGCUCAAGCACCUGGCUGCAGAAGGAGCAGGAAACUUUAGUGAAGCCACAGUGCGGUUUAUAAAACACGACUUUUAUGUCGUCAAGUUUGGACAGUGAAGCAGAAGCCAUCCAGCUUGUCAAAGAGGCAAGAGAACUGUGCAGUGUUGGUAAGCUCCACUUGCACAAAUUCCUCACCAACAAUCGGAAUUUGCUUGACACAAUCCCAAAGCAAGAACAGGCAGAAGGUGCAGCUGAUCUGGACCUGGCCCUGGGAGAACAAAGAAUGGAACGGGUUCUUGGGGUCCAGUGGUGCAUUUGCUCCGAUAUGUUCCAGUUUAGAGUGAGGAUAAAGGAUCAUGCCUUUACUAGAAGAGGAGUAUUGUCGACAGUUGCCUCAAUUUUUGAUCCUCUUGGAUUUGUGGCACCGGUCAUCUUGAAAGGUAAGCAGAUUUUACAACGGAUGUGUCAAGACAAGGUAGGAUGGGAUGAGCCACUUCCUGAUCACCUCAGACCGCACUGGGAAGCAUGGCUCCAAGACCUCCUUAAUCUGUCUGAGGUUGAGAUUUCACGACACUAUAUACCACUAACAACCAAGGAAGUUCAGUGCUAUGAACUACUUCCUUAAGUUAAGGACCGUUACGGCCAUUAGGUGGCGCUCGUGCAUUUUGAGAGAGGUAUAAGAAGGACAACUGCUCAAGAGAUGUAAAUGCCACUAUAAAAUGUCUAGACACUGUUAAGAGCAGAGUUUUGUAGAGUCGUGACUCCGCCAUUGAUUGAGAAGCAGGCUAAAGUGGUGAGUGCUAUUUAUAUUUGGUAUUAACUUUGGUGCGACAGUGCCGCUGAUGUUUAACUGCCAUAUGAAUUUCAUGUAUGAAUUUUCAUGUUAUUUUCUGUACAUUAGUUCUACGAUGUUCCAUGACGAAGGGAAAUAACCAAUUUAAAUACCAUUACCAAUAGCUUCCAGGUCAUGUGACCUUUGACCUCCAAACCACUUUGUAUCAGUAGGACUUGUCUGCUAGUAUCAUACACGCCUUAUUGCUUUGCUACUCAACUUUGCUGGGAUUUUAUAUAAUUUUUUGAAAUAAAAUAUUAUGAAUAGCUUCCAGGUCAUGUGACCUUUGACCUCCAAACUACUUUGUAUCAGUGGGACUUGUCUGCCAGUACUAUACGCGCCUUUUUGCUUUGCUACUCAACUUUGCUAGGAUUAUAUAUGAAUUUUUUACACAAAUCAUUACCAAUAGCUUCCAGGUCAUGUGACCUUUGACCUCCAAACCAUCUUGUAUCAGUAGGAAUUGUCUGCUAGUACCAUACAUGCCUUUUUACUUUUCUACUUAGCUUUGCUAGGAUUUUAUAUGAAUUUUUUACACAAAUCAUUACCAAUAGCUUCCAGGUCAUGUGACCUUUGACCUCCAAACCACUUUGUAUCAGUAGGACUUGUCUGCUAGUAUCAUACACGCCUUAUUGCUUUGCUACUCAACUUUGCUGGGAUUUUAUAUAAUUUUUUGAAAUAAAAUAUUAUGAAUAGCUUUCACGUCAUGUGACCUUUGACCUCCAAACUACUUUGUAUCAGUGGGACUUGUCUGCCAGUACUAUACACGCCUUUUGCUUUGCUACUCAACUUUGAUAGAAUUAAAUAUGAAUUUUUUACAAAUCAUUACCAGUAGCUUCCAGGUCAUGUGACCUUUGACCUCCAAACUGCCUUGUAUCAAUAGGAAUUGUCUGCUACUACCAUACUCAUCUUUUUGCUUUUCUACUUGACUUUCAUAAGAUUGCAUGUGAUAUUUUUUAUAUGAACUAUUAUAAAUAGCGCCAGGUCAUAUGACCCUUGACCUCCAAAUCACUUUGAAUCUUUCAUACUCCCAUGCUGGUACCAUACACUCCCUUUUUAUGGUCCUCCUGAAAUCUGCAACUAUCUUUUUAGUUUUCUUCAAGUUGAUACUGAGGCAGGCGUGUAAUUGGAGGAUCAUAACCCAUGCAAUGUCCAAGUCAAUCCAUUUUGUUUAUGUAGCAGAAUUAAACAAACACAAGGUUUCCAAAGUGCUGCACAAGCACAAUAAGGACAAUGAAAAUGUCAGUCUGGUAAAUUAGAGUAAUAUAAGAUCAAAUAAAAUCUAAAAAAAAUAAAGCAUAAAAAUAUAAAAUCCAUAAAAUAAAAUAAGAUAAUACAGUACGAUCAAAGUCAUAAAAAAUAACCCCCACCCCCAAAACAGUCAAAAGUCAGCCUCCGACUAAGUGUUAAAACCCAUGGAGAAGAGGUGGGUCUUAAGAUUGAAAAACAGACGGAGAGGAGGCCUGUUUGAUACACUGUGGCAGAUUAGUCCAAAGUUUUAGGGUUGCAACAGCAAAGGCACGAUCCCCCCCUGAGCUUCCGCUUUGUUUUAGGCUUCCUCAGGAGCAACUGAUCAGCUGACCUGACCAGACUGUAGAGUGCAAAAGUAAAAAAGCUCAGAGCGGUACGGCAGUUAGGUGAUGAUUUGUGACUGGAGUUGGUAAGCUAGUUGUUAGAUUGCCAGUGGCCUGUGCGGUGAAGCAGAGGGAUCAGGGAUGUACUGUGUAGGACCAAAGUUAGUGUUUCUUACUUUGCUCCAAUACAGUCUGGGCUAGCAGCGUUAAUAGCUCAACUACCUUUCUCACCUGAGUGAUGGCAUUUCUACACUGUAUAUGCAGCAGAGUCUGGUGCGGGCAGCGUGGUAACCAUGGUGAUGACAGAUGCUCCUUCACAUGACAUACCAGUCCUGCUGCAGGAGGGCGACUGACAAAGAGAAGUGUUGAGUGAGUUCAUUUGGUUAAUCUUGACAACCUUUGUGAAACCUGAAUGUAUUUCCUCCAUUCAUUUUAAUAAGGCUGUUACCAUUUCAACAUUAAGCUUUUUUAUGCAUCAAUCCUCCAGGUGUUUCUCCUUUUAUGAGAGUCGUCACAUUGAGCGGUUUCCGUUCUCAGACCCUGCUCCAGCCACAAACUAAUAGACUGUCGCUGGCCUGUAGGAUGCUCACAUACCUCCUGGGUGCUGGUGGCUGUAACCGAAGCCAAGAAGCAGCAGCAGAGUUCUGCAAACAACAACAACAAGACUUGUGAUAACACUUUAAAGGGGGGCAGCACUUUGGGGGGAAUUUGGCCCAUUCACAAUCCUGAUGUGAACCAUGAACACAUUUCUUUCCUUUUUCUAUGUAUUACUCCAUGAGAUAAGUUGAUAUAAAAAAAGGAUGUCAUGUUUGAACUAGUGAGCUGUUUUAAAACCCAAAAUGGAGAUGUAAAAUGUGGGCCAAAAAUGCUUACUAAAGAGAAGGUGCCCUUACAGGGGAAGGGCAAACAAACACCAAAAGGGUAAGCAAAAAGUAUAGCUGAGAACACUGUCCAAUGCUAAAUACAAAAAAACAAAAACACUUCAGCAAAAGGGCUCACAGGCAAAAAGCAGGACACAAGGCACAAGAACAAAAAACAGAGCUGACAGAAAGUCUGCGGGUAAAAACUGGGUAAGGGUAAUGUAGGAGCUAUUUAUUAGUGUGUUCCUAGGUUUCUGAUAUCUGUUGAUUUAUUUUUUUGUUGUUGUUGUUUUGUUUGGAUUACUUGAUAAUAUUUUCUUGUUAGUUAUUUAUUUAUUUGUUUAUCUAUCAUAUUUUGUUGGGGUUAAUUAGUAGUUAAUUUCUGGGUUUAUUUCAUUGGAUAACACCCUGGGCACCUGCAAUAUAUUUAGGUAGGCAGUGCUCACAGGACCAGCAUGCACCGGGGUGGGCCUAUGGUUUUUGUACCAGCGCAAGAGAGGCAACAGGAAAAGGCCCUUGUUCCUUUUUUAUUUGUUUGCUUGCUUGGUAAUAAAAGGAAAGAAGAAAUGGAACAGGAUUGUUUGGACAAUGACUCUUUUGCCUGCGUAAAACAAAACCCAUGGUGCAUCAGUGGCCGUUUGAUUAUAAGUUACGUUUAUUAUUUUAGUGAAGGACAAAUAGCCACUACAGGUAACGUAAAAUACCACGGCAUAAAACAGUUGGCGAGUACUCACGACACUAAGAUUAAAAGCCCGAAAACAAGGGGCCUGCGAGUCCACACACGAGGCCAAGUGGACAGGAGGUGUGCAACAGGUUGUCAUAAAAGAAGCUUGAGGAACAAUCUGGUGGUGUGCUGGUCUCUGAGUGCAGCUUAAGUAGUCCAGGGGAUAAGUGGCCUCAGGUGUGUGCAGAAAAGACCAGCCUGCUGCCCAUCAGGAUGCACUGUAAGAAAAAGGCAGCAGGUGGCAGCAGAGCGACGACACAGCUCAUGACACGUCAUUGGGAUACACCUAUUUGGCCUGUGAAGCCCUCUUAAGAAACCUCUAACAAAGUUGCAUGGUUUGAUAUCCAUGCUGUGAUCAUACAAUAACACGUACACUAAUGAUGACAUAUAAUAGUUGCUGUAUCUUUCCAUAUUUUGAUGAUUUAAAACACAACCCAAACUUUGUUUCUAAGCGCAUUAGAUAUGAGGCGGCAUACAUACAGCGACAAAACUUCCAAUGUCUACUCUCUGUGGGAUGGCUGUGUCUUCCAGCACAAGACGUGUGCUCCAGUCCUCAGGCAAAUGCUGCUGGAAAACGAGCAUCUUGUUGAGUCUUUGUAGUGGAACUUAGAGCCAAGUAUCCACUCUUUUGUCUGUGAAUUAUGCUGAGACCAGCGAUUAGUGACACGCCGUGUUCGUCCCCAAGAUAAAUAUUGUUUUACAUUUUAACUGCCAUAACAACAAUAUGGCUGUGGCUUGGUUAAUACACUAGGCAGUUCUGUAAAUGGACAUUGUUGGCAUUUUUUGUGGUCAAAAUAGAUAUUUCCCAUGAUGUCUGUUGUGAGCUAACUCAUUUUAACUCAUUUUCUCAUGUUAGAAUGCACAGAAAAGGGAAAGAAAUAUGUGUUCAUGUUUCACAUUGUGAAUGAUGUGAAGGAUCGUGAAUGAUGGGUAAAAUAAAAAAAAAGCAGUUCCCCUUUAAAGGGGACCGUUUAUACUAAUUUUGCAACCCUUUAUAUUGAGUUGUGGUCUCAAUAAUCCAAUAACCCGCACAGAAAACUUUUUAGAUUUAGCAGAAUCUGCACCUAUUCCAUCUGUAUUACCUGUCAUUUGUGCUUCCUGCCCAAAUGGGGUGUUGUCAUUUAUUCCACCUACGGCCUGCCUCCAGGCAUGCCCACUACGCUGCGAUUGGUCACACGGCCAAAGUGCGGCUGAACUAUGAACCAUAUAAGGAAGUUCGCCCCUCUGUGACAUCACUAAGGGGCAGUUUUACCAUGACUUUUACAACUGAGCAUUUUGAGCCAUCCUAAACUUCUUUCAGGAUUCACUUCGAAGUACACAAAGCUCAUUAUCUGAAACUUUGGGAUCAUUUAAGACGAGAAUAUAACAUUCUAAAUAGGUCAGAAAAGUGGAAAAAGCAUAAUGGGUCACCUUUCAGGCCUGAGAGGAUUCAUUCUAUAGAUAUAGGCCUACAUAUACAUAUUGUACAUAACAUAUAACACUAGUAUACAUAGUAGCGGAUUAAGUACUUUCUCCAGUAAGCAGUUACUUUACUUAUAUACUAUAUAGUACAUUAGUUACUGAUUCUGUUACUUUUCAGAAGGAACAUGUCACUACUAAUUACUUACUUAAAAAUAGAAUUCCCACAACCCCAGGCAUUAACCUUGCUGAUUUAACUUGGAUUCAGGCUAUUCAGUGUGUUUUUGGUUGCCUUCAUACAGCUUAUUCAUUAGAUGCAUGUUUCUUGAAAUGUUUUUCUACACGUACCAAAAACCUGUAGGGGGCGAUUUUAUUAGCAAAAGAUUUCAUUUUGUGCAUCUCGUUAAACAUUUAAAAUGGGGCGCUAUAGAAAAGGACAAAAAAGAAAAAAAGACCUUUGGGCAAGGGCCGGAGGCAAAGCUUCUGUGACACAUUCAUUUGUGGCGAAUGGAUUCGCAGGGCCCAACGCCCCUUGCUCGGAGAAGUGGGCCACAGUUUCAGAAAUGCGUAAAAACUAUUUGGUUUGAAACCGAAGAGCAAUUCGAAGUGACGUUCAAAAUCAAGAAGGUAAUGCUUUAGAUGUUUUUUUCUUAACAUAAAGGAACUUUUUAUGUUAAUUGGGUUCAACGAGGGUGCAAGUCUUGGGGUAUCCCGAUAUGUUAUUGUGCCCAUCCGCAGAGUUUUUUUUUAUGUUUACGUUUACAUGUAUACUUGUUUCUAACUCAUUAACUUAUCAGGUACACUCUUAAAAAUGCUGGGUUUAAAACAACCCAAUCUGGGUUGUUUUUCAACCCAACGCUGGUUAAAUAUAGGACCAACCUCGCGUUGGGUUAUUUUAACCCAACAAGUUGGGUUGGUUCUCUUAACCCAACUAUUGGGUUGUACAUUGGGUUGUUCAAAUGACCCAACGCUGGGUUCAUAAUUACUAUA